UUAUUUCACUUGUCUCUUUGAUAAUCCAUAACUGUCUUCUGUAAUUAUUUUCAUCGUCCAGCCAAGCAAAGAUAAAAGAUGGAACACGUCUCUUUUGCCUACUCCCAAGGAAACUCCAUUAUCCUUGAAAGGUCAUGUGACUGCCGCAAGUCCAAUCUGGGUUGCAAGAAGCAGUCCGCAAGGACCAGCAGAGUGUGAGCCGAAAAUGAAGUUGUUACCAGACAGCAAACGGCAGCCCUCGCUUCUUAUGAAUAUUUGAAUCCUGAAAUAUUGAUGGUGCUGUUGUUUUUACUCAUCGAAACUUGGCCCUCGUCAAUCUUUCAUGAUGAUAUUUCUGCUCAUUCCGAUGAGAAACAGUGUCCCUAAAGCGAGAGACUAAUUCUUCCAAAGCUUCUAAUAAAAAGUUACCAGUACUAAUUGAACAAGAUCAAGUUUUCCUGCAAUGUAUUUGAAAAGAAGUGGGAUGAGGCUUGUGCGGGGUUGCUGUCUCAAGGGUAUCAUGGUGCACAUGGCACAGAGUGAGGUCGUGAAUUAUUCUCCUCUGAUGAAUCGGGUAAACGCGGCUCCAAGGAUCACCCACUGCGUGUAGAGGAAUGAGAGGAAGAUGAGGUGCUGUGCCUGCCUUUGGAAGAUGAAAUUUGUUUUGCAGGAGAAAGAACGAAAACAAAAUAGAGCUACAAAAGUAGAACAUUAUGUGCCAUUCCAAAAAAAGCAUCAAAGGUAAGGGUGGUGAAUGGAGACAUACAAAGCUAUGCUCCAAGGAAGCACUGAAGUGGGUUCUUGAGGGCGUUAGAAAAGCUCUUACUCAGAAACAUACACGGGAGAAGACUCAGAGAUUUUUACGAUAUCCCUAUUGCAGUCUUAUAAUGAUCAGAUAGGCCCCAUCGGACUGAUUCGAA